CUUGUUCUCUCUCUAAUGGCUGCCGAAGGCGAAGAUGGGAUCUCUCUCUCCUCAGAAUCUCACAUUUCUCUCUCUGCCAAUUUCACAACUCCAUGCCCUGAGGGCCUUCAUCAACCAACAGAACCCACUGAUACCGCCAUUGAUUCGAAGAGAAAAAACCUCGAGAGAGAAGAACUAGAAGAGAAUCAGGGAGGAGAAGUAACCGCGGACCCUAACCCUGAAGCUAAACCCCUUUGGAAGACCAGCUUGUGCUCAUACUUCAGAAGACAUUCUCAGUCUUGUAGACAUGCCGAAUCGUGCAGGUACGCUCAUGGAGAGGAGGAGUUGAAGCCUCGACCUGAUAAUUCUUGGGACCCGACCUCUGAAAGGGCCAAGAAGCUUUUGAAGACGAUCGAUGCAAUUAGGAAUGAUGGAGUUGGUGAUUUUCCAAGGGAAGAUGUGUUGCCAAGCACUGGCUCUGAUGGUGAAGGCGACGGAGCUUCUUCUAGUUUGAGAAAAUGCAUUGUCAAUUUGCCAAAGCAGUGGAACUCUGAUAAAUUGAAGACCUUCUUAACUGAUCAGGGAAUCAUCUAUGCCACUGCUAAGAAGAGAAAGGGCAUGGCUGUUGGCUUUGUGGACUUUGCUAACCCAGAACAUGUUACACAUGCCAUAGAGGUGCUAGAUGGAAAAGUAAUGGGCAACAGGCAGGUAAAGGUUGUGGAUGUCAAGGCUCGAGCAUUUGAGAGAACAUCUGGGCUCGCUAUCUCCAGUAAUAAUCCAGGUGGUAUCAUGGAAACUGAUUUUGCAUGUGGAGAUGCUGGGGAGAAAGGACAUUCUGUUGAAAUUGGUAAAUCUGGUGCUAAUAACUUGGCUUCAAAAACAAGAACAGUUCGCGAGGUAGUGACUCCCCUCGCUCACAUGCAAUAUGAUGACCAAUUGGAUUACAAGAAGAACUCGCUGUUGCAAACUCUUAAAAGACUUACUCGAAAUGCACGGAAGGCUUGCCCGGAUGGUGUUCCUCUUCCGGAAUGGGUUAUCAAGUCCAGAGACAUAGGUGGCCUUCCAUGCAACCUGGAAGGUAUUAUAAAGUCACCACUAAUAAAUGGCUACCGCAACAAGUGUGAAUUUUCUAUUGGCUAUUCUCAACAUGGUGAACCGACUGUGGGUUUUAUGCUUGGAAAUUUCAGGGAAGGUAUGACAGCGGUUGAGGACCCGGGUGAUUGCCCCAACAUUUCUAGCAUUGCUUGCAGAUAUGCUUCAAUCUUUCAGAGUUUCAUAAGAACAUCAGUUUUACCGGUAUGGAACAGAAUUCAGAAUACUGGAUUUUGGCGUCAACUCACUGUUCGAGAGGGGAGGGCUCCAAGUCAGCCUACUGAGCUUGAAAGGGCAACAACUUCUAUUGCAGAGGUUAUGCUUAUUGUUCAGGUUUGCCCGCUUGGUGUUGAUGAAGAAUUAAAGUCAAGUGAAUUCCAAAGAAUGGCCCAAUCUCUUGCUGAGGGAGCAUAUGCAUGCUCACCUCCAUUACCUUUCACUUCACUUGUAGUGCAGGAGCACAAGGGCAUAUCAAAUGCAGCACCAGUUGAUUCUCCAUUGCUUCCUUUACGUAUACUGCAGCAGGAAGGCACCUCUGAGCACAAUGAUAAUCUUAGUGCAACUGAACCACGAAUUCGUGAUUAUAUAAGCAACCUUCGUUUCUCCAUCUCUCCCACUGCAUUUUUUCAGGUUAACACUCUUGCCGCAGAGAAGCUAUACAAUCUUGCUGGAGAGUGGGCCGGACUUGGCCCAGAUACCUUGCUUUUUGAUAUUUGUUGUGGGACUGGGACGAUCGGUCUAACUUUAGCACAGCAUGUUGGUAUGGUUGUUGGCGUUGAAAUGAAUGCAUCAGCAGUUUGUGAUGCUUUGAGAAAUGCAGAGACCAAUGGCAUAAAGAACUGCAGGUUUGUAUGUGCUAAGGCAGAGGAUGUUAUGAGUGCCCUUUUGAAGGAGUACCUGGAUUUCUCACAACAAGAAGAUGAUUCCCUACUCCAGCUUGCAACCAAUGGUUCAGAGAAAAUCAAUGACGAAAAUAGUCUCUCUAAUGAAAUCGGCACUCCUGAAUCUGCAUACAACAGUUUGGAGAAAACCAGUGACAAAGAUAAUGUCACCAAUGGUAUGAACACUGGUUCUGCCUCCUUAACUAGUCAUAUUGACCAUGUUGAGAUGCGGUUAAACACUUCAGAUACCUUUGGCAGUAAUGUAGAUAGCAGCAAAGUAGUUAACAUUGAUGGUUCAGUUAACGUAGGGUUGAACGAUUUAAACCCCGAGAAUUCCAUAAUAGAGGACAAGAAUAAACAGAAUGUGAAGCUCCAAUUCAAAAAUGUUGUUGCCAUUGUUGAUCCUCCACGUGUUGGUCUCCAUCCUGUUGUAAGUACACGCAUCCUCGUCUCUAUGAAGCAAAUGAUUCAACACACAAAGAUGUCAAUACUGUGAAUACGUAGUGUAUUUUUUUCUUCGUUUCAUCUUGGCAUUUUCAUAUUUUAUAUUAUCUCUUUCAAUAUUAUUUUUCAAUUUUUUUGGGAUUUCGAUGUUCUUUUCAUUCUACUCGUUCUUUUUUUUUUUCAAUCACCUUUUUCUUUUAAAACCUUUUUCAUGUUCUUCUUUGUUCUAUUAUAUUAUCAAAUAAGUCUUAUCAUGCCAUUAUGUUUUGUGUGGAAUAUCUUCAUUUGGUCUGUCCUAUAAUUUGGGUUUUGACUUAGCAGUCCAUUUUGGAAGUUGGGAGAGCAAGUUGAAACAUCCUCUCUUCCCAUAUCUCCAAUUUCUUGCUUGCCAUUCCUUCUUUCUUACUGUGGCUUUAUUAUAGUCUAUUAAUUGUUUUGUUAUGUCCUACUAUUUGUUAGGACAUCAGGGUUAGUUGGGUUAUUUUUUGUCUGUAUUCUACAUCCUUAUGGCAACUUGCAUUUCGGUGGUUUGUACUAUUUCUUUUUUCACUUGUUCCAUGUAUUUUUAUGUUUGAAGCACAGGUGAUCAAAGCAAUAAGGACUCAUCCAGGUCUACGACGUCUUGUGUGAGUUUGCUUUCAAUCUUCUCUUUUUUAAUGUUUUGAAAUUAUGCUAUAAUCCAGUGCUCAUUCUUAAUUUUUGGAAAUUAUGCUAUUAUCCAAUGGCCUAUGGGAAACCAAUGCAAUGGGGCCGUCGCCAUUCAAUGAAAUGGAUGAGUGAUGUAUAAUCGGGUAAAUCAUUGGGGCUAUGUCCUGUUUUGUUACAUAUCAUGUAAUCCCGAAAGCUUAGUAGCUAAUGCUAUUGAGCUUUGUACACCAUCCACUGACAAGCUAGACAAAGGGAGAAGCAAUAGAGGCCAUUGGAGGAGCAUGAGCAGUGCAGGCUUGGCUCGUCAGAGGGCCAAAUCCAUGCCCAACUCCGAACCUUUUCGACCUGUCAAAGCCAUGGCUGUAGACCUCUUCCCUCACACCCCACAUUGUGAGAUGGUGAUGCUUCUUGAGAGGUAACCAUCUCUCUAAAAUUUGGUAGGAUCGUUUAAGUACCAAAAUGCGUUUAUGGUUCAUUAUAUUGUUCAUUUUUCCCGUGCAGUGGUGAAUUUAUUUUACAAUCUAAUGUGAAAGCACCUCUCUCUCUCUCUC